AUUCCAGCUCCAAUAGCGUAUAUUUAAGUUGUUGCAGUUAAAAAGCUCGUAGUUGGACCUUGGGACGUCACGGUCGGUCCGCCUUCUUGGUGUGCACUGGCCCUCACGUCCCUUCUGCCGGCGGCGUGUUCCUGGCCCUAAUUGGCUGGGUCGCGGUUCCGGCGCCGUUACUUUGAAAAAAUUAGAGUGCUCAAAGCAAGCCUACGCUCUGAAUACAUUAGCAUGGAAUAACGCGAUAGGAGUCUGGUCCUGUUCCGUUGGCCUUCGGGACCGGAGUAAUGAUUAAUAGGGACUGUCGGGGGCAUUCGUAUUUCAUUGUCAGAGGUGAAAUUCUUGGAUUUAUGGAAGACGAACCACUGCGAAAGCAUUUGCCAAGGAUGUUUUCAUCG
rnacentral:rRNA from 1 species